AUCCUCUUUCUGUAAAUACUUUAAUGAGCCAUAUACUUUCGUCUAUCACGGUAUAACUUCUUUUGUAUGUGGAUUUGGUAAAUUUAGCUGGAAUAUGCUUACGUUAGAGAUAGUUAAUAACUUAAUGUUCAUAUUCAUUCGGUCAUCUACUCAACUACUCAUUUAUUACCCUUUUUUUGGAUAAAAGAAAUGGUAAUAAUUGAGUAAUUGGGCUAUAUUUAGCCUAGCUUUUGUAAGCUCCUAGUCCCCAAGCUCUAUUCCCUUCUCUCCCUUCUUUUCAUAUCUACUUUCACUUUCGUUUUUCGCCUCAUCCCCACUGGUCGAAAAUCUCCGCCACCGAUCGGCAACCUCCGUUCAUGUUCAAAAUACACCAAUCGAAUCAUCUCCUCCUCUGCCAAGAUCCAUAACCCAAACCUUCCAAAUUCACCCCAUCUUUAAUUUCAGAAUAUUUGAUCCCUAGUUUAUUUCUUAUCAAAUUUGUGAAGUUACACUCGUCUCCACCACAUAAAACCUAUAUAAAUUGAUAGAUCUUGGACGGAUCUAUCAUCUGGAAUCGGUUUCAGUACGAAACUCUCAUAACCAAUUGUUCCGCCGAGUCGCCGACAACCAGUGUCCUCCAUCAUAUCAUGUCAAGGUACUUGUUAUCUUCCACCGGCAAGGCAUGAAGUAACUCUGUCAUCACGACGUAGAAAAAGAAGUUACCUAACUUUUUCCUCUAUUGAACUGAAGUCUCCCAUGGUUCCAAGUCAGAGCAGCUGUGCUGAUAUGUGAGGAAUUUGACAACCAGAAGCAGAGUGAUCAUAGCCGAUGGCGUCUCUGCCCUAUCCCCAAGUUGAAAUGAUCAAAUGCGUUUUGAGACUGCUGCCGAUUUAGCUAUAUAAUGAUUUACUCUGUUGAGUUCAUUCAAAUGGCAUCACUCUGUCGAGCAAGAUGAUGCUAUGAAGGCUACAGUAGUGAACUUCAGGAUUCCAGCUGCUGUGUCUGCUUUUGACAUUGUACACCUGCCAUAUUUCUAACCGCACAGUUCUUGAGCCACUUGUCAUCAAUAGGUCUAAGAAGAGAAAGGGUGACCAAAGGGAGCUAACUCAACUUCAAAGGAUGUGAUUGGACUGCUCACAACUGUGAUGGUUAUGCUUUCUAGGUUUACACGUGCUAUAAAUGACUGCAAAUACAGUGAAGGCUGAACCUCGGUAAGGUCACCCUUGCUCUUCUUGAACCUUUCGACAAGUGGAUCAAGAACUCUGCGUUUGAGAAAUAUGACACGUGCUAAGGAUGUCAAAAGCUGACAUACUGACAGCUGGAAUCCUGAAGUUCGUUACUGUUGUCUUCAUGGCAUCGCCUUGUUCGACGAAGAUUGCUGCCAUUUGCUUGAACUCAACAGAGUAAAUCAUUACAUAGCUAAAUCUCUAUAAGCUUUGUAAUAAAGUAGCUAAAUCUCUAUUAGCUAUGUAAGAAAUUCUCUACUUACCAGAAUUUGAAACCGAGAACUUCUAUUAAUGGCCCAUCUAUUUGACCAUACCCCUUGGGUAUGCUUAAAUGCACUAUUUCAAAUGAGAGUUUAAGCUUCGAUUUUUAAAA